rnacentral:lncRNA from 1 species
AGCAUGCCUCUCUUCGCGCCACCGAGCACCAUCUGUAAGUCUUCAAAACAAAACUUUGAAACUAAUAUAAAUGAGUUGAAAAAAUAAAAGCACUAAAUUGAAAAUUUAAAAAAAAAAUCAAAAGUUAAUAAACUCAAAGUCAAGAGAAUAAAAAUAAAAAGUAUGACAAAAAGAGCAAAACAAAAAAGAAGCCUAGCGUCUACACUCUUCUUACACUAACUUUGCAGCCCCUUUCAAAACAAAACAAAAACUUUGCAGCCACACAUACCAAAAAAGGAAAAAUAUAUCCUAAUCCAGUCCAGAACCAUAGCCAGCC